rnacentral:rRNA from 1 species
GAGUUUGAUCCUGGCUCAGAACGAACGCUGGCGGCGUGUCUUAACACAUGCAAGUCGAACGCGAACGGGUUCUUCGGGACCUUAGUAGAGUGGCGCACGGGUGAGUAACGCGUAAGCCCCUCUACCUCGGCAUCUGGAAUAACUCACCGAAAGGUGAGCUAAUACCGGAUACGUUGGCAACAAGAAAGGUGGCCUCUGAAUAUGCUACCGUGCCGGGAUGAGCUUGCGUACCAUUAGCUAGUAGGUAGGGUAAUGGCCUACCAAGGCGACGAUGGUUAGCGGGUCUGAGAGGAUGAUCCGCCACACUGGAACUGGAACACGGACCAGACUCCUACGGGAGGCAGCAGUGAGGAAUAUUGCGCAAUGGGGGCAACCCUGACGCAGCGACGCCGCGUGGAUGAUGAAGGCCUUCGGGUCGUAAAAUCCUGUCAGUGGAAAGAAGUGCCACGAUGGCUAAUAUCCAUUUUGUUUGACGGUACCGCCGAAGGAGCACCGGCUAACUCCGUGGCCAGCAGCCGCGGUAAUACGGAGGGGGCAAGCGUUGUCGGAAUAACUGGGCCUAAAGCCGCGCCGUAGGCGGGUUUGUUAAGUCAGAUGUGAAAGCCCUCGGCUCAACCGGGGACGUGGCAUUUGAACUGGCCAACUUGAGUACUGGAGGGGGGGGGAAUCCCGUGUGAGGUUGCGAAAGGCGUGGGGAGGCAAACAGGAUAGAUUACCCUUGGAUAGUUCACGCGUAAACCGAUGAAGAGCUAGGUGUUGGGACGUUUAUUCGUCUUCAUUGCCGCAGCUAACGCAUUAAAGUUCUCCGCCUGGGGAGUUACGGUCGCAAGAUUAAAACUCAAAAGGAAUUGACGGGGGCCCGCACAAGCGGUGGAGUAUGUGGUUUAAUUCGACGCAACGCGAAGAACCUUACCUGGUCUUGACAUCCCGGGAAUCUGCUGGAAACAGUGGAGUGCCUCGCAAGAGGAGCCUGGUGACAGGUGCUGCAUGGCUGUCGUCAGCUCGUGUCGUGAGAUGUUGGGUUAAGUCCCGCAACGAGCGCAACCCUUGUCUUUAGUUGCCAGCAUUAAGUUGGGCACUCUGAAGAGACUGCCGGUGUCAAACCGGAGGAAGGUGGGGAUGACGUCAAGUCCUCAUGGCCUUUAUGACCAGGGCUACACACGUACUACAAUGGCAUAUACAGAGGGCAGCGACAUCGCGAGGUGAAGCCAAUCCCUAAACUAUGUCUCAGUCCGGAUUGGAGUCUGCAACUCGACUCCAUGAAGUUGGAAUCGCUAGUAAUCGCGGAUCAGCACGCCGCGGUGAAUACGUUCCCGGGCCUUGUACACACCGCCCGUCACACCACGGGAGUUGGUUGUACCAGAAGCAGUUGAGCCAACCGCAAGGAGGCAGGCUGCCAAGGUAUGGCGAGUAACUGGGGUGAAGUCGUAACAAGGUAGCCCUAGGGGAACCUGCGGCUGGAUCACCUCCUU